UAAAGGCGUAGAAAGGACAAAGAGCAGGCGGGAGCAGGAGGCAGAGGCCGAGGUGUCAGACUCUUCAGAAAGCACCCGGCCUCGCUCCGCGUGAGUUCUCAUCCUCAGUGGCACCCACGUUGUGUCCCUGCGGUGACAGCAGCCACGUAGACCUGACGACCGAAAGAGCAGUCAGGAGAAAGAAAGGUCACUUUGGCCGUUGAUGGCAAAGACGAACUCUGGAUGGAGGCUGGGCCAACCCCAUGCGGAGCUCCAUCGGCCGGGGAGGCGGGAAACAUGCCCGGCGUUUCUUCAGGGGCAGGACGAGAUCCCUGACAGAUGUCGCGUGGCUCUCAAUCGUCCUUAUUCGCGGGCAGCUAUUCAUCCGGAUGCUCCUCCCUUAGGCCUGAAACUGCUCUCGCGCUCUGCCCACGCCGUAGAAGGCAACUCAAGGUCACUGCAUGGAAACCGUGCCCUUCGCUUCCCCUGUGGGCCCAUCAGGGUCUGUGGCCGGUGAGGGCUGAGGUCACCAGACGCAACCCGGCUCAGCUCAGCAGUUCGGAACCAAGAACCACACGUUUCUUAGUUGCAAGCAGGAAAAUCGCAGUCGGGCUAAUUUAAGCACAAAGGGAAUUUGUUGAAAGCGUUUUGGGAGCUCGCAGGAAUUCUGGGAGGCCCGGAGCCCCGCCUCGGUACCACGAGGGUGCUGCCAGACCACACCGAGAUGCUCUGCUCAUCCUUGAUGACCUCAAGCUCACCUCGUUUCCCUCAUCCCGUGGGCCAUGAUGGUGCGUGGCAGAGCUGA
rnacentral:lncRNA from 1 species